rnacentral:rRNA from 1 species
UAAAGGAAGCGAUUCCGGCUACGGAUGGUCAUGCGUCGCAUUAGCUAGUUGGCGGGGUAACGGCCCACCAAGGCGACGAUGCGUAGGGGUUCUGAGAGGAAGGUCCCCCACACUGGUACUGAGACACGGACCAGACUCCUACGGGAGGCAGCAGUGAGGAAUAUUGGUCAAUGGCCGCAGGGCUGAACCAGCCAAGUCGCGUGAGGGAUGACGGUCCUAUGGAUUGUAAACCUCUUUUGUCAGGGAGCAAAGGGCGCCACGUGUGGCGCUUUGCGAGUACCUGAAGAAAAAGCAUCGGCUAACUCCGUGCCAGCAGCCGCGGUAAUACGGAGGAUGCGAGCGUUAUCCGGAUUUAUUGGGUUUAAAGGGUGCGCAGGCGGAAUGUCAAGUCAGCGGUAAAAUUUCGGGGCUCAACCCCGUCGUGCCGUUGAAACUGGCGUUCUUGAGUGAGCGAGAAGUAUGCGGAAUGCGUGGUGUAGCGGCGAAAUGCAUAGAUAUCACGCAGAACUCCGAUUGCGAAGGCAGCAUACCGGCGCUCAACUGACGCUCAUGCACGAAAGCGUGGGUAUCGAACAGGAUUAGAUACCCUGGUAGUCCACGCAGUAAACGAUGAAUACUAACUGUCCGGGCAGAAUGAUGCCUGG